rnacentral:misc_RNA from 1 species
GAUGAAGAACGGAGCGAAAUGCGAUAAGUAAUGUGAAUUGCAGAAUUCAGUGAAUCAUCGAAUCUUUGAACGCACAUUGCGCCCUCUGGUAUUCCGGGGGGCAUGCCUGUUCGAGCGUCAUUAUAACCACUCAAGCUCUCGCUUGGUAUUGGGGUUCGCGGUUUCGCGGCCCCUAAAAUCAGUGGCGGUGCCUGUCGGCUCUACGCGUAGUAAUACUUCUCGCGAUUGAGUUCGAUAGGUCUACUUGCCAGUAACCCCCAAUUUUUACAGGUUGACCUCGGAUCAGGUAGGGAUACCCGCUGAACUUAAGCAUAUCAAUAAGCGGAGGA